rnacentral:rRNA from 1 species
UACGAAGGGGGCUAGCGUUGCUCGGAAUGACUGGGCGUAAAGGGCGCGUAGGCGGUUCAUACAGUCAGAUGUGAAAUUCCCGGGCUUAACCUGGGGGCUGCAUUUGAUACGUGUGGGCUUGAGUGAGGAAGAGGGUUGUGGAAUUCCCAGUGUAGAGGUGAAAUUCGUAGAUAUUGGGAAGAACACCGGUGGCGAAGGCGGCGCUCUGGACCGAGACUGACGCUGAGGCGCGAAAGCGUGGGGAGCAAACAGG